GAGUCACCCUUCUGGGGCAAGACUUGCUUCAGUGGGGCUUUGGUGCUCACUGAAUCUGACCCCUGAGUGUGUCUCU
rnacentral:pre_miRNA from 1 species